AGGGAAUCUUCCACAAUGGGCGAAAGCCUGAUGGAGCAACGCCGCGUGUGUGAUGAAGGGUUUCGGCUCGUAAACACUGUUGUAAGAGAAGAAUGACAUUGAGAGUAACUGUUCAAUGUGUGACGGUAUCUUACCAGAAAGGAACGGCUAAAUACGUGCCAG
rnacentral:rRNA from 1 species